UAAUAUUUUGAACCGCAUGGUUCAAAAGUGAAAGACGGUCUUGCUGUCACUUAUAGAUGGAUCCGCGCUGCAUUAGCUAGUUGGUAAGGUAACGGCUUACCAAGGCAACGAUGCAUAGCCGACCUGAGAGGGUGAUCGGCCACACUGGAACUGAGACACGGUCCAGACUCCUACGGGAGGCAGCAGUAGGGAAUCUUCCGCAAUGGGCGAAAGCCUGACGGAGCAACGCCGCGUGAGUGAUGAAGGUCUUCGGAUCGUAAAACUCUGUUAUUAGGGAAGAACAUAUGUGUAAGUAACUGUGCACAUCUUGACGGUACCUAAUCAGAAAGCCACGGCUAACUACGUGCCAGCAGCCGCGGUAAUACGUAGGUGGCAAGCGUUAUCCGGAAUUAUUGGGCGUAAAGCGCGCGUAGGCGGUUUUUUAAGUCUGAUGUGAAAGCCCACGGCUCAACCGUGGAGGGUCAUUGGAAACUGGAAAACUUGAGUGCAGAAGAGGAAAGUGGAAUUCCAUGUGUAGCGGUGAAAUGCGCAGAGAUAUGGAGGAACACCAGUGGCGAAGGCGACUUUCUGGUCUGUAACUGACGCUGAUGUGCGAAAGCGUGGGGAUCAAACAGGAUUAGAUACCCUGGUAGUCCACGCCGUAAACGA
rnacentral:rRNA from 1 species